rnacentral:pre_miRNA from 1 species
AAAGUACUCCCUCCGUCCCAAAAUUCUUGUCUUAGAUUUGUCUAGAUACAGAUGUAUCAAGUCACAUUUUAGUAUUAGAUACAUCCGUAUCUAGACAAAUCUAAGAAAAGAAAUUUGGGACAGAGGGAGUAGUUG